rnacentral:rRNA from 1 species
GACUCUCAGCAACGGAUAUCUCGACUCUUGCAUCGAUGAAGAACGUAGCGAAAUGCGAUACUUGGUGUGAAUUGCAGAAUCCCGUGAACCAUCGAGUCUUUGAACGCAAGUUGCGCCCAAAGCCAUUAGGCUGAGGGCACGCCUGCCUGGGUGUCA